AUGUUUUUCCUUUGCCCUGUUGCUAGGGUAGUUUGGCGCACAGUGGGUUCGGUGCUCGGGGCUGACCUAUGUCCCAACAAUUUUUGCCAGUUUUACUCUUGGUGUUAUGCUUUUCUUCCUCAGGGAGAGAAACAUUUUACCGUGGGGCUUGCGGCUGUCUGCUGGGCUAUUUGGAAUCGCAGGAAUCAAGCCACUUUUGAAUUCAAGAAACUGUCAUCUCCUUUUGAGAUUGUCUUUACAACUUGCACACAUUUAUCUUACUGGGCAGGUUUGUUGAAAGGCGAAGAACGAUCGGAGCUGGAGCAUGGCGCGGCGCUUCUGAAGAAGAAUGCUAAGGAGAUGAUGAGACUUUGCGCGACUGCACACACGGGAACCACAUUGAGCUGA
rnacentral:rRNA from 1 species